UACGUAGGGACCGAGCGUUGUCCGGAAUCAUUGGGCGUAAAGAGCGUGUAGGUGGCUCGGUAAGUCCGCUGUAAAAGUCCAGGGCUCAACCCUGGAAAGCCGGUGGAAACUGUCGAGCUAGAGUCCGGAAGAGGCGAGUGGAAUUCCUGGUGUAGCGGUGAAAUGCGCAGAUAUCAGGAGGAACACCAAUGGCGAAGGCAGCUCGCUGGGACGGUACUGACGCUGAGACGCGAAAGCGUGGGGAGCAAACAGG
rnacentral:rRNA from 1 species